GGCCCGGGUCCCGCGUUUCCUGGAAUUCAGGACCCAGCGUCCUCGCCCGUCGACCCGAAAACUACCGCCCCGCGGCGCCCGACCGGACCCACCUGUGGGCGCGAGCCCCAGCCGCCUCGCUGGGCGCUGCCUUCCCCCCGGCUCCUCCAGCAACUUUCAAGGGUCCCCCUGCAGUCUGGGCGCUGCUGUGAGCCAGGCCCGAGCUAGAAGCGGGGACCCCGGGAGCAUCGCAAACCUCGAGGGGAGUGCUUUCCACCGGAGAGACGGACGCUCGUCGCAGAAACACAUGACAUAAUUGUAUAGUUAAGGAGCUUUCGAGGGGGGCCAGCCUUGGCCUGCAGAACCUGCAGGAAUUCACCAGGGGUGGAGAGAACAUUCUACGUGAGAGACUCCAGGGAGCUGGGAGUGAAAGGAGGCGAGGAAAGCUGGAGCCCGAAGGGUGGGAGAACACAGACAGUCCCCUCCUGGGCAUUCACCUUUAAGAAACCCGCCCAGGCGCAGCCAGAGACCUGUGCCUAAUGUUCACACCGCGCUGUUCCGAAUAACAGGAGCAUUGGAAACACCCCCAAAUGCCCCUCCAUGGGCGAGUGGGCAAAUAAACUGGAAUAUUCACACCAUGAAACGUUAGACAGCAGUGAAACGGAAUGAACUUCAGCCAGAUAACAACAGAAGCAAUGCCUCAGAAGCAACGUUGAGUGACAAAACUAAGUUGCAGAAAACUGAAUACAACGGUGCAACUUUUAGAAUGUGUAAAAGCAAAACCAAAAGUGUGUGUAUUUAGACGCAUGCACCGGUGGAAAGAAAUUUAAAGCAAGGGAAAAAUGAGCAUAGGUACUGGAGAAGAGUGGUUAUCUCACGUGAAUGGGAAGGAGCUGGGAGGAGGAUGGAGUCUAGGUUUCCUCCUCUUGGACCUGCGCUGGCCUGAGUGACUCAUUGGAGUGAUAGAGCAUGAUGGGAGCAAGCUUCCUGGAUUUCCGAGCCUUGGUUAUUAAGAAGCUUUGUGGUGUCCUUUAGGGCCUCUUCAACAUUCUCUCUGGGAACCCAAGCUUCUAGAAGAGACCACCAUGCUAAGAGAGUCCACAUAUGGCCAUUCCAGUUGGCAGUCCCGCUGAGCCCAGGCUUCCACCAUCCCUACCAAGACAGCAAUCAUGUUAGUGAAGCUGUGGUGGGCCAUCCAGCCCAGCUGCCCACUGAAAACCAGGCUUCGGUCAAUGCCAUGUGGGACAGAAGAAUUACCCAAGAGGAGGAGAAGAGAAUCCUCACACAAGAGGAGAGGUGGGGAUCAUGGCAAUGAACGAGCAAAUGCCUCAUCAAGAUGCUGCUGCGCUGAAACAUAAAUCCAGUGUUGCCAGAUCCUCCAAGCAUCCAAAAAAGCCAGUGACUCCUCUUUUAAUGUUUAAACUGUAUUCAAAUGUGUCCUAAUGUUUAAAACUUUGUACAAGCCAAAGAAAACAUCUGUGGGCCAGAUUUUGCCCCACACAGCCAAGGUCCCUGCUGAUUCUGAUCUUCUAAGAUCUCUGAGUAAGAAAUAGGACAAGGGAGAGGUUGCAUUUUCACUCACAUUUAUCAGACAGGAUUAAGAUCAGUUGCACACAACAGAAAACCCCCAAAUAAUAAUGGCUGAAAAAAGACAGAAGUUUAUUUCUCUGUUGUGUAAAAACAGAUUAAAAAACCAGAGGCAGGCAAUGCCACUGAUGUGACAACUCUGUGAAGAUGGCUCCUUCCAUCCCUCUGCUCUGCCAUCCCUAGCAUCCAGCCCCUAUCCUCAUUGUGCAGUAUGGCUGCUGGAGCACCGGUCUUCACAUCUGCAGUCAAGAGAGCAGGGCUGAGGAAGGGAAGCAGCAGCUGGUGCUUCUCUCUUUUAAAGAUCUAGAUACCUGGUUUUUCUCUCAACAAAUUCUGCUUAUAUAGUCACAUGGUCACACCUAAUUGCAAAGGAGACUAGGAAAUCUCUUUUGCUGUAAAGCAAGGUACCCAGCUAAAAAAAAAAAA
rnacentral:lncRNA from 1 species